UACGGAGGAUCCAAGCGUUAAUCGGAAUUACUGGGCGUAAAGCGCACGUAGGCGGUUUUUUAAGUCAGAUGUGAAAGCCCCGGGCUCAACCUGGGAAUUGCAUUUGAAACUGGCCAACUAGAGUACGUGAGAGGGGGGUAGAAUUCCAAGUGUAGCGGUGAAAUGCGUAGAGAUUUGGAGGAAUACCAGUGGCGAAGGCGGCCCCCUGGCACGAUACUGACGCUCAGGUGCGAAAGCGUGGGGAGCAAACAGG
rnacentral:rRNA from 1 species